GUGUGCAAUCAUACCAGCACUAAUGCACCGUAUCCCAUCAGAACUCUGCAGUUAAGCUUGCUUGGGCGAGAAUAGUACUAGGAUGGGUGACCUCUUGGGAAGUCAUCAUGUUGCACCCC
rfam:Gossypium raimondii chromosome 6, whole genome shotgun sequence.